GACAGAGGUGCCAAGCGUUAGGCGGAAUCACUGGGCUUAAAGCGUGUGUAGGUGGAUUUGUAAGUACCUUGUGAAAUCCCAUGGCUCAACCAUGGAACUGCUCGGUAUACUGCGAAUCUUGAGCCACUUAGGGGCUACCGGAACAAAUGGUGGAGCGGUGAAAUGCGUAGAUAUCAUUUGGAACGCCAAUGGUGAAAACAGGUAGCUGGGAGUGUGCUGACACUGAGACACGGAAGCCAGGGGAGCGAACGGG
rnacentral:rRNA from 1 species